rnacentral:rRNA from 1 species
GGGGAAUUUUGGACAAUGGGCGCAAGCCUGAUCCAGCCAUGCCGCGUGAGUGAAGAAGGCCUUCGGGUUGUAAAGCUCUUUCAGACGGAAAGAAAUCUCUCAGGAUAAUACCUUGGGAGGAUGACGGUACCGUAAGAAGAAGCACCGGCUAACUACGUGCCAGCAGCCGCGGUAAUACGUAGGGUGCGAGCGUUAAUCGGAAUUACUGGGCGUAAAGCGUGCGCAGGCGGUGAUGUAAGACAGAUGUGAAAUCCCCGGGCUCAACCUGGGAACUGCGUUUGGGACUGCAACCCUUGGAGACGGCAGAGGGAGGGGGAAAUCCGGGUGUAAGCGUGGAAUGCCGUGAUAAUGGGGGGGAACACCAAUGGGGAGGGAGGCUCCUGGGCCAGUACUGACGCUCAUGCACGAAAGCGUGGGGAGCAAACA